rnacentral:rRNA from 1 species
AUAAGCAAAAUAAGGGCGUAUGGGGAAUGCCUAGGCUCUCAGAGGCGAAGAAGGACGUGAUAAGCUGCGAAAAGCUACGGGGAUUGGCACACACGAAUUGAUCCGUAGAUAUCCGAAUGGGGCAACCCAGUAUGUUGAAGACAUACUAUCCUGUAUAGGAGGCGAACCCGCUGAACUGAAACAUCUAAGUAGGCGGAGGAGAAGAAAACAAAAGUGAUUCCGUAAGUAGUGGCGAGCGAACGCGGAAUAGCCCAAACCAAAGUUGUUACGGCAAUUUUGGGGUUGUAGGACCACGAGAUUUCUUGCGGAUUUAAUAAGAAUUACCUGGAAAGGUAAACCGAAGAGGGUGAUAGUCCCGUAUUGGUAAGAGAAGAUAAGAAUAGUGGUAUCCUGAGUAGGUCGGGGCACGUGAAACCUUGAUUGAAACUGGCGGGACCAUCCGCUAAGGCUAAAUACUCCUGAGAGACCGAUAGUGAACCAGUACCGUGAGGGAAAGGUGAAAAGAACCGUGAAUAACGGAGUGAAACAGAUCCUGAAACCAUACGCCUACAAGCGGUCGGAGCCCAUUAGUUGGGUGACGGCGUGCCUUUUGCAUAAUGAGCCUACGAGUUACCGUUGCUGGCAAGGAUAAGUGAUUAAGUCAUGGAUCCGUAGCGAAAGCGAGUCUUAAUAGGGCGCUUUAGUCAGUAGUGGUAGACGCGAAACCGUGUGAUCUACCCAUGGGCAGGUUGAAGUUUAGGUAACACUAAAUGGAGGACCGAACCGUUUAACGCUGAAAAGUUUUCGGAUGACCUGUGGGUAGGGGUGAAAGGCCAAUCAAACUCGGAAAUAGCUCGUACUCCCCGAAAUGCAUUUAGGUGCAGCGAUGAUCGAUAGUUACUUAGAGGUAGAGCUACUGAUUGGAUGCGGGGGCUUCACCGCCUACCAAUUCCUGACAAACUCCGAAUGCUAAGUAAUGAUAAUCAUCAGUGAGGGCAUGGGUGCUAAGGUCCAUGUCCGAGAGGGAAAGAACCCAGACCAUCAGCUAAGGUCCCCAAAUGUAUGCUAAGUUGAAAAAACGCGGUUUGAUUGCCCAGACAGCUAGGAUGUUGGCUUGGAAGCAGCCAUUCAUUUAAAGAGUGCGUAACAGCUCACUAGUCGAGCGAUCGAGCAUGGAUAAUAAUCGGGCAUAAGUAUACUACCGAAGCUAUGGAUUUGCGCAUUUAGUUGCGUGAGUGGUAGGGGAGCAUUCUAACGGCGCAGAAGGUGAUUUGUGAGAAUUGCUGGAGCUUUUAGAAAAGAAAAUGUAGGCAUAAGUAACGAUAAGGGGUGCGAGAAACACCCCCGCCGUAAGACUAAGGUUUCCUCAGCUAUGCUAAUCAGCUGAGGGUUAGUCGGGACCUAAGGCACACCCGAAGGGGGACGUCGAUGGCCAACGGGUUAAUAUUCCCGUACUACUGAUAAUUGUGAUGGAGUGACACAGUGAUGAAAGCACCGCGAACUGACGGAAUAGUUCGUUGAAGCACGUACCUAUAGGUUUGAUAGUAAAAUGCGUCAGACUUGGAGAAAUGCGAUAGUACUUUGAGUCUUCGGACAACGAGAUAGUGUGCCUAAGGGCUGUCAAGAAAAGCUUCUAAACUUAGAUUAUUAGUACCCGUACCGUAAACCGACACAGGUAGUCGAGGAGAGUAUCCUAAGGCGCUCGAGAGAUUCAUGGCUAAGGAACUAGGCAAAAUAGACCUGUAACUUCGGGAGAAAGGUCGCCAGCGCAAGCUGGCCGCAGUGAAAAGGUCCAGGCGACUGUUUAUCAAAAACACAGGGCUCUGCAAAAUCGUAAGAUGACGUAUAGGGCCUGACACCUGCCCGGUGCUGGAAGGUUAAGAGGAGAUGUUAUC